GUAGGUGGCAAGCGUUGUCCGGAAUUAUUGGGCGUAAAGCGCGCGCAGGCGGUUCUUUAAGUCUGAUGUGAAAGCCCACGGCUCAACCGUGGAGGGUCAUUGGAAACUGGAGAACUUGAGUACAGAAGAGGAAAGCGGAAUUCCACGUGUAGCGGUGAAAUGCGUAGAGAUGUGGAGGAACACCAGUGGCGAAGGCGGCUUUCUGGUCUGUAACUGACGCUGAGGCGCGAAAGCGUGGGGAGCAAACAAGAUUAGAUACCCUGGUAGUCCACGCCGUAAACGAUGAGUGCUAAGUGUUAGGGGGGUUUUCCGCCCCCCUUAGUGCUGCAGCUAACGCAUUAAGCACUCCGCCUGGGAGUACGGCCGCAAGGCUG
rnacentral:rRNA from 1 species